GGCGGGACGCGGAAGUGGAGGGCUGUGGCCUGAGGGGCGUUGACAGGCCGCCCGGCUGGAGCGCGCUGGGCCGAGGACACGGGAUCUGAGAUGCGGGGAGCGACGCACGCGGGCUCCUGGCCCCUGAGCCACGCCGAGGAGUCGUCAGGAGCAUCUCGGGACGAGGAAGGUGCGUGCAGAGUUUAAGGUUCCAGGCUCCGGAGUGACCUCUAUAUUCCUGGCUCCACCUUCUGGCCUCCUGACAUGUUGAGCAAAUGAUCUAAGUCCCCCGAACCUCGGUUAUGUCGCUGUGCGACGGGGAUCAUAAUAGCAUAUGCCCCAUAAGAUGGUUGAGAGAAUUAAAUGAUGUCUCUGCAGUGGGUACCCAGCCAGACUCCUGUCAUGGCCAAGAACUGAUAAGUUAUCAUUCGUGUCUGAUUAGGAGGGCAGGUUUCAGCACUCCUCCUUUCUUCCGGUUUUGGUGUUGGAGUUCUGCAACUAACAGGAAAAAGGAAAAAGAUUCGGCAUUUGAAAGAGAAGAAAUAGGUAACUGGGUUCUAGGAGGGUAAUUUCUCUGUCUUCAGUGAGAAGGUGAUAGGUGGUCAUGUGGGUCAUCUCGGCUAGCAUUGCCGGGCACGGGGGUACCGAGAAGAAUGAGACCCCCCGACUGUGUGAGAGCUGACACGGUACCAGUGGGGCGAGAGGGGUUGUCAGUUAGCAAGGUCAGUGUGAUGGGGGUGAUGUAGAAAGUGCUUCAGAAGCCCAGGUGAGGUAGCAGUUCUGUGUGGUUGGUCAGGGAAGGCUUCGGAGAUUUAAACUUGGUGCUCAGUUGGAGGAACAGUGGAUUUUUCCUGCAAACAAGGAAGGGAAAGGAUAUUCCCUGAAGAGGUAAACAGCAUUAAAUACUAUGUUAAAAGUUUUCAAAA